rnacentral:rRNA from 1 species
CCUACGGGUGGCAGCAGUGAGGAAUAUUGGGCAAUGGGAGAGAUCCUGAACCAGCAAAGCCGCGUGAGGGAAGACGGCCCUAUGGGUUGUAAACCUCUUUUGUCGGAGCACAAAACCCGGGACGUGUCCCGGACUGCGUGUCUCCGAAGAAAAAGCAUCGGCUAACUCCGUGCCAGCAGCCGCGGUAAUACGGAGGAUGCGAGGGUUAUCCGGAUUUAUUGGGGUGAAAGGGUGCGUAGGCGGUCCGUUAAGUCAGCGGUAAAAUUGCGGGGCUAAACCUCGGCGAGCCGUUGAAUCUGGCAGACUUGAGUUGGCGAGAGGUACGCGGAAUGCGCGGUGUAGCGGUGAAAUGCAUAGAUAUCGCGCAGAACUCCGAUUGCGAAGGCAGCGUACCGGCGCCAGACUGACGCUGAGGCACGAAAGCGUGGGGAUCGAACAGGAUUAGAUACCCUGGUAGUC